AUUGAACGCUGGCGGCAGGCCUAACACAUGCAAGUCGAGCGGAUGAAGGGAGCUUGCUCCUGGAUUCAGCGGCGGACGGGUGAGUAAUGCCUAGGAAUCUGCCUGGUAGUGGGGGAUAACGUCCGGAAACGGGCGCUAAUACCGCAUACGUCCUGAGGGAGAAAGUGGGGGAUCUUCGGACCUCACGCUAUCAGAUGAGCCUAGGUCGGAUUAGCUAGUUGGUGGGGUAAAGGCCUACCAAGGCGACGAUCCGUAACUGGUCUGAGAGGAUGAUCAGUCACACUGGAACUGAGAAACGGUCCAGACUCCUACGGGAGGCAGCAGUGGGGAAUAUUGGACAAUGGGCGAAAGCCUGAUCCAGCCAUGCCGCGUGUGUGAAGAAGGUCUUCGGAUUGUAAAGCACUUUAAGUUGGGAGGAAGGGCAGUAAGUUAAUACCUGACUGUUUUGACGUUACCAACAGAAUAAGCACCGGCUAACUUCGUG
rnacentral:rRNA from 1 species